rnacentral:rRNA from 1 species
CGGCACGGGUGAGUAACACGUAUGCAAUCCACCUGUAACAGGGGGAUAACCCGGAGAAAUCCGGACUAAUACCCCAUAAUAUGGGCGCUCCGCGUGGAGAGUCCAUUAAAGAGAGCAAUCUUGGUUACAGACGAGCAUGCGCUCCAUUAGCCAGUUGGCGGGGUAACGGCCCACCAAGGCGACGAUGGAUAGGGGUUCUGAGAGGAAGGUCCCCCACAUUGGAACUGAGACACGGUCCAA